CUGGGUGUGUCACUGGAGUUCUAAGGCUUCAAUUCUUUGGACCAAGAUAGCAAUUUUGGCCUCGAUAGCUAGGAAAGGUUAAACUUGAUAUACUCUCCCUCUUGAAGGUGUGAGUCUUUUGGGUUUCCUAGUUAUCUUUAUUGUAGUUCUUCUCCUCUAGAUCUUCUAGAAAUUGUUAGACUUCUAUAGGCUCUUUGUUCAUGA
rnacentral:lncRNA from 1 species